ACGGCUCAGUAACACGUGGACAACCUACCCUGAAGAGGGGGAUAACCCCGGGAAACUGGGGAUAAUACCCCAUAGGCUAUGGAUGCUGGAAUGCUCUGUAGUUGAAAGGUCCGCCGCUUCAGGAUGGUCUGCGGCCGAUUAGGUUGUUGUUGGGGUAACGGCCCAACAAGCCUGUAAUCGGUACGGGUUGUGGGAGCAAGAGCCCGGAGAUGGAUUCUGAGACACGAAUCCAGGCCCUACGGGGCGCAGCAGGCGCGAAAACUUUGCAAUGCGAGCAAUCGUGACAAGGGAACUCCGAGUGCCUGUAAAAUCAGGCUGUCCGCCAGUGUAAAUAACUGGCGAAGAAAGGGCCGGGCAAGACCGGUGCCAGCCGCCGCGGUAAUACCGGCGGCUCGAGUGGUGGCCACUAUUACUGGGCUUAAAGCGUUCGUAGCUGGCUUGUUAAGUCUCUGGGGAAAUCUUCCGGCUUAACCGGAAGGCGUCUCAGGGAUACUGGCAGGCUAGGGACCGGAAGAGGUGAGAGGUACUCCAGGGGUAGGAGUGAAAUCCUGUAAUCCUUGGGGGACCACCUGUGGCGAAGGCGUCUCACCAGAACGGCUCCGACAGUGAGGAACGAAAGCUGGGGGAGCAAACCGGAUUAGAUACCCGGGUAGUCCCAGCUGUAGACGAUGCGCGUUAGGUGUAUCGGUGACCACGAGUCACCGAGGUGCCGAAGAGAAAUCGUGAAACGUGCCGCCUGGGAAGUACGGUCGCAAGGCUGAAACUUAAAGGAAUUGGCGGGGGAGCAC
rnacentral:rRNA from 1 species